GGUACCGGCAAACCAGGGGAAUGUGUUACGAAUCCUUCAAAUAAAUUGACCUUAGUAAAAUCAGGAUUUCCAACCUUAGGAGUUGCUGUAGGUGUACCGGUUGGUAUAAUUGGUAUGAUCUGCAUUAUCGUUGCCGUCGUGCUCAUCAGACGAAGAUGUAUACGUGAGAAUUCGGAUAAAAAAUUCGCAAACUUCAUGAAUAACACAACAGAUGAAAACUAUUUAGGUCAGCAAGAUAUAGCACUCCCUCAGUAUCCAACCAACAACAAGGUACUGUAUAGCCAGGUUCCGAACCGCAACACAGACUCGAUAAAGACCGAAGACGGCCAAGAUUAUAGUCACCCAUCCAAAGACACAGAAUCCCCGUAUGCCCUAUCUGAGGAAGGAGUAUAUGACAAGACAAAUGAAAGAAGGCAUGUUGUUAACGAAACAGACAUGUAUAGCCGUACUGUCGAUACCGUGUAUGAUUCUGCUGAACAACACAUGAAACAAGAUAGAAAAGAGGAGACCUAUGAUCAUGUGUUCGGUCAGAAAACGGAGGAUUAUUACGACCAAACAACAAGAACAUAAAUUGAAAUACUAAGCACUGCACUGUUUUAAGAAUCUUUUCCGCCAAUCAUUCAAUCAACGAAGCAUUCAGACUCUCAUUUCAAUCUUGAAUUAGAGUUUCUAGAAGAAAGCUAUUUGAUUUUUUUUUAAGUUUUUGACAAGUGUUCUGGAAUUAUUUGUUAGCCUGCAGGAUUCCGGGAACUUCUCUAAAGUUUUGUGAGGAUGGAUGCACUCUCUUGAAAUAUAAGUUCCAUGUGACUCAGUUUGGUGGCUAUUCAUUAAUGUGUUAUUUAGGGGUUAUCUGUUGGUUAUAUUAUUGACAACAUAUUUGCUGAAUUUGGAGGUGGACUUUUUCAACAAAUUGUCGGCAGUCCUAUGGGUACGAACUGUGCGCCUCUCCUUGCCAACCUCUUCUUAUUUUCUGAGUACGAGUUCCGUCAGACACUUGUCAAAAGCAAGAAGAUUAAAGAAGAAGCCACAUCAUUUAAUUUCACAUUCAGAUAAAUUGAUGAUGUUCUUUUCAUUAUCAAUCCAAACUUUUCUGAUUGGGUUCCAUUAAUAUAUCCUUCAGACCUAGAAAUUAAAUAAACAACAACCACGGCUUCCUCUGUCUCAUUUGUAGACUUAUACCUCGAAUUUGACAUAAGCAGUCAUCUCAGUACCAGAAUCUAUGACAAACGAUUUUUAUUUUAAAUUACUAAUUUCCCCGACCUUAGUAGCAAUAUAACAACUUCACCUGCAUAUGGGAUAUACAUUUCCCAACUCAUUCGGUAUUCAAGAGCUUGCAGCUGCUACUCAGACUUUAUAAAACGUCACCAGUGUCUGAGCAGAAUGUACCAGGAUUAUGUAAAAGAACGUCUAGUCCUUUUUCUAAAAACAGUUCAUCAGAAGAUACUUAGACCUUGUUGAGAAAUAUUCAGUAUCAACUUCACAAACAAUACAUGAUGGUCUUGAAGUUUAGAUUCUAGGUACUGACGAUAUUUAUCAUCUUAAUUACAUGUAUUAGUGUUCUUUUAUUUGUCUUUGCAAAUUAUUACCUUUACUGUCCAUUUUUGGUAAUAUCCCUUUGGCGUGUCUCGGUACUUAUACAUCCCGGCAUUGUGUUAUCGUACUAUGGUAAAUUUUUGUAUUGUUGACUUUCAUUUUUGCUUAUGUGUUUUUUGUAUAUGUCUUUUUGUUUUACUUUGUUGACACAUUUGUUUGUUUUUAUAGUGAUUAAGAUUAUAACACAAUGUUGACUGCUGUACCCCUAUUUUUUAUAUUUUUACCUAUUAACCAGGUUUAAUCUACCAUUUUCUACAUAAGGAAAUACCUGUACCAAGUCAGGAAUAUGACAGUUGUUUUCCAUUCGUUUGAUGUGUUUGAGCUUUUGAUUUUGGCAUUUGAUAAGGGACUUUCCGAUUUGAAUUGUUCUUGGAGUUCUGUAUUUUUGUUAUUUUACUUUUUUUUUGUAGUGCCAGCUUUUCACUCGAUUUACUUGCUGUCAAUGCUUUAGAUAAUGGUAACAAAUGUUUAUUAUCAUUCUCAAUUUGAAAAUAUGCCAUUGAACUGGUACCUGUAUGUCAUUUGGUGACGUAAAGAUUUUUUUUUCAAACAUUA